rnacentral:lncRNA from 1 species
GAGAAUAACAUGUACUCAAUUUGUAUCAGACAAGGGAAGAACAAUUCAGGAAUCGUGUCAAGAGGUAUGUAGGCAUUUGGUGUUGCGUGGAGACUGGCACACCAGGUCACAUAUACUAUGAUAUGUAUUGGGAUGAGAAACCUGGCUGGAAAGCAGCUCCUCCCAACUCUACAAAAGAUGAUCAUCCGCCUUGGUGAGGCCUUGGACUCCAUUACCCUCAGAGAAGUGUGAAAAGAAAUGCUCUAUAACACCUUGCAAUUCAAGAGGGAUGUACCAUUGUUUCAUAGAGAAAUGUACUUUUGAAUCUAUAGAGUUGGUAUGAAGGAUUAGUCCUUCAUUAGGAUAGAACAUAUGUGCUUUUUUUAUGUACAAGCAAAAAAUUUUGAUUGUUCCAACAUUAGAAAAGUACAAAAUAAUGAAGUGUAUAAUUUUGAUUUGAGUAAAGAUGGCAGCUAACCAAAUGGUUAUCAUUAGUGCAGUAUGCAGAGGGGUUGAAAGUUGAAACUAAUCAACUGUUCAAAACCUUCAUUUUCUAUUUUUCCUGAAGAACAAUGUUAGCAUAUUUCUAUGAAAGAAUUAUAUUCAUAAAUGAUUAAAAUGGAAAAGGGUCACUCAUUUAUAGAAAGUCACUUAAUAAAAUCUGUUUUUUUAUACCUCUCCUUAGAAGCUCCCACACUUUAUUUUCUCUCUUGGUGACUCGAACUCACAACCUAAGGGUUAGAGGUGAGGGGUGCUUACCUCCGAGCAACUCCCUCUUGUACUCUAUCGUAGUUUGGUUUGUGAUUCUCUAGUGCUGAUUGUUGUCCAGUAAUCAUCCACAUUUUUACAACAGUGCUAGGAUGCUUUACCUUUAUUAGCAUUCUAUUUUUUUCUUACUUUAAAAAUACAUUAUAUUUUCACUAUGAGUCAGCAUUCUUACGAUUCAGGAAUCAUGUCAAGAGUUAUGCAGGCAUGUGGUGUUGCUUGGACCAUUAGGUACUAUGAUAUGUAUUGGGAUGAGAAACCUGGCUGGAAAGCAGCACCUCCCAACUCUACAGAAGACUAUCAUAUGCCCUGAGACAAGUGUUAAAAGAAAGGCUGAAUCCAUCGAUGGCUCCUUAAAGUUGACACCAGUUUUCACUUAGACAUCUGAGUGUUAAAAGAAAUGCUACUCCAGUGUCUCUAUAACACCUUGCAAUUCAAGAG